GUUCAUAUGAUGUUAUACAAUUUUUAUCACGACGGUCUACAUAGCCAUAUGCUUUGAUGACAAACGCCUGUGACAAGGCAUUAAUCUGAUA
rnacentral:snoRNA from 1 species